rnacentral:tRNA from 1 species
GCCCGGAGUGGGGGAGAGGCUCACUCGUAAUAAGCAGGUCAGCGGUUCGAGUCCGCUCGUCGGCU